UACAGAGGGUGCUAGCGUUGUUCGGAAUCAUUGGGCGUAAAGGGCGUGUAGGCGGUUUGUUAAGUCAUGUGUGAAAUCCCUCGGCUCAACCGGGGAAGGACGCAUGAAACUGGCAAGCUAGAGUACCAAAGAGGGGGGUGGAAUUCCCGGUGUAGCGGUGAAAUGCGUAGAUAUUAGGAAGAACACCCGUGGCUAAGGCGGCUCUCUAGUACGGUACUGACGCUGAGACGCGAAAGCGUGGGGAGCGAACAGG
rnacentral:rRNA from 1 species